ACGCAACCGGCAGCCAAUUCACUCCCAUUCCUCCUUUUCUCUCCCACUAGGAACCCUAGCCGCCGCCCGUUGUGGCCUAACGCCCCAUGCCCAUGAGAUGUGAGCCGGUGACGACCGCCGCAUCGAGGCGCGCGGCGCGCCCCUUACAGAUGAAGAUCGGCGCCCCGAGCCCCGGCCCUGACCAGUGGAGACCGGUGCCCCGUGCCGCCAUCCCCGACCCCCCGUCAGUCGCUCCACUGCCCGCAACACGGUCGUCUGCCGCCGAUGACGACCGCCGCAUCGAGGCGCGCGGCGCGCCCCUGACCGAUGAAGAUUGGCGCCCCGAGCCAAGGCCUCGACCAGUGGAGACUGGUGCCCUGCGCCGCCAUCCCCGACCCCCCGUCAGUCGCUCCAUUGCCCGCGAUGCGGCCGUCCGCCGCCGGUGCUCCGCGCCCCGAUGACUUGCUCAGCAGCUGCAGUCCAUCACCACUCAUCACCACCUGUCUUCUUCAACUCUGUUCGUCGGCUCGCUGCCUACUGCCCUCCUUCAUUUCUCCACAUCGCAGCUGAAGAGAUGGUUGAAGAAUUUGGGGACCAGGUGAAGGGAAACCACAAGGUCCAUGGUGGUGCUGAAAUUGAUUUGUUUGAUGUCAAGUACUAUGUUAUCAAGUACUAAGUGAUGGUGGUCCGCUGUUUGCUGCUUGUUGAUUCCAAUAUUCCAUGGGCUGUUGUUGCUUGUGAUCUUCUUACUUUGUGUCAAGUAUAAGUGGUGUUGCUUGUUAUCUUCUCACUUUCUGUCAAAUGUAAAUGUUUUUGCUUUUUAUCUUCUUACUUUGUGUCAAAUAUAAAUGAUAUGCAUACA